GCGGAUGUAGUUCAAUGGUAGAACAUCAGCUUCCCAAGCUGAAUACGCGGGUUCGAUUCCCGUCAUCCGCU
rfam:Amycolatopsis australiensis strain DSM 44671 genome assembly, contig: Ga0074771_106